rnacentral:lncRNA from 1 species
UCAGUAUUCGUCGCUAUGAUUGCACCCUACACAUUCAUCUAAUAAUAAUCUCUCACACACCCUACACAUUCACCUAAUAAUAAUCUCUCUCACACACACCCUACACAUUCAUCUAAUUAUAACACACACACACACACAUGAGCCCUUCCACACACACGCACCCUAGACAUUCAUCUAUACAUAGAGAUUCUCUAGUCUACUAUAUUAUUAUACAUAGAGAUUUACUGGCGCACCAUUUAAGCGGAAGAUGAACAAACGUAUAGAACUAUAUAUAUCGACACACUAGGCAGACGAAUCAAGCUUCUGUCGUUUCACUGCCAUCUCUCUCUACACAGUCAAUCCUUUUUUUCCUCUGUUUCUUCCAACCUUCAUCAAAUAAACCCAACAACAAAAACAAACAAACCAUUUCAGACAUCAGUUAAUAUCAAAAAGGUUUUAUCAUAAUUAUUUUCUCAAUAAAAACUAACAAUCGUUCUACAUUUUAGGCAGAAAAAGGGCAGUAUAUCGAAACCAAAUUUUGAAACAUACUUUCUACUAUUCCCAACACAACGAUAUUUCUAAAAACAGUUUUGAAGACAACAUGUUUUCAAGUACUCCAUCUUAAACACCCACAAAACACGAGCUGGAUUUUUAAAACAUGCUCAUUUGAAAUAUUUCUCUAAACUAUAUAACAUAAUUCCAUAACACACUAGUUCUAGCUAGUUUAACAAAGAAAAUUAAAUUAAAUGAGCGGAGUCUUUCUCUUACCUUUUACGAUGAUGAUGCCUCUCUCUCUUUGUCUCUGAGCAAGUGAGAGGAAACUGGAAAAUGUUCGGAGUCGGUAACAGAACUUAGAAACAGAAAUUGUAAGAACUAGUGUGUGUAUGUGUAUGAGUUUUGAACUUUGAACGAACAAUGAGAG